rnacentral:rRNA from 1 species
CCUACGGGAGGCAGCAGUGGGGAAUAUUGCACAAUGGGCGGAAGCCUGAUGCAGCGACGCCGCGUGAGGGACGAAGGCCUUCGGGUUGUAAACCUCUUUCAGCAGGGACGAAGCGUGAGUGACGGUACCUGCAGAAGAAGCACCGGCUAACUACGUGCCAGCAGCCGCGGUAAUACGUAGGGUGCGAGCGUUGUCCGGAAUUACUGGGCGUAAAGAGUUCGUAGGCGGUUUGUCGCGUCGUUUGUGAAAACCCGGGGCUCAACUUCGGGCUUGCAGGCGAUACGGGCAGACUUGAGUGUUUCAGGGGAGACUGGAAUUCCUGGUGUAGCGGUGAAAUGCGCAGAUAUCAGGAGGAACACCGGUGGCGAAGGCGGGUCUCUGGGAAACAACUGACGCUGAGGAACGAAAGCGUGGGUAGCAAACAGGAUUAGAUACCCUGGUAGUCCACGCCGUAAACGGUGGGCGCUAGGUGUGGGUUCCUUCCACGGGAUCUGUGCCGUAGCUAACGCAUUAAGCGCCCCGCCUGGGGAGUACGGCCGCAAGGCUAAAACUCAAAGGAAUUGACGG